CCGGGAGUUCCGAUGGAUAUUUCCAGUAACACUAGAACUAAUACAUGUCCCUGCGUUUAUUAGUUUCGCACAGUCCGUCGCUGAGUCAUGGUAAACAGUUGAUCGACUCGACGUCCCGGAACAGUUUCCGCCCCAUCAGCUUCGAUGGUUGGGUAUUGGCCUACCAUUGCAACAACGGGUAACGAGGAAUUAGGGUUUGAUUUCGGAGAGGGAGCCUGAGAAACGGCUACCACAUCUACGGAUGGCAGCAGGCGCGCAAAUUACCCAAUGCAGACACUGUGAGGUUAAUCAGCAGUCGGCGUCUUAAGGGAUAGUCUCUUGUAACUGUGAGACUCCAACUAGGAAUGUCUCGUAAGCACAAGUCAACAUCUUGUGUUGAUUACGUCCCUGCUCUUUGUACACACCGCCCGUCGCUCCUACCGAUCGAGUGUUUAGGUGAAUUUGAUGGACGUAAGGAAGUCAAAUAAACCUGAGCACUAGAGAAGAGAAGUCGAUCAUUA
rnacentral:rRNA from 1 species